GACGAACGCUGGCGGCGUGCUUAACACAUGCAAGUCGAACGGAAAGGCCUGCUUUCCCUUGUGGAUUGCGGGUACUCGAGUGGCGAACGGGUGAGUAACACGUGAGUGAUCUGCCCCCAACUUGGGUAUAAGCCUGGGAAACUGGGUCUAAUUCCCGAUAGGACUGCAGGGUGGUGCCUGUGGUGGAAAACGACUUUCUAGUGGUUGGGGAUGAGCUCGCGGCCUAUCAGCUAGUUGGUGGGGUAAUGGCCUACCAAGGCGGCGACGGGUAGCCGGCCUGAGAGGGUGGACGGCCAGAUUGGGACUGGGAUACGGCCCAGACGGGUACGGGAGGCAGCAGUGGGGAAUAUUGCACAAUGAGCGGAAGCCUGAUGCAGCGACGCCGCGUAGGGGAUGACGGCCUUCGGGUUGUAAACUCCUUUCGACCGCGAGGAAGCCACCUGGUUGGAAGAGUGGUGACGGUAGUGGUAGAAGAAGCACCGGCUAACUACGUG
rnacentral:rRNA from 1 species